rnacentral:rRNA from 1 species
UAUUGGUCAAUGGGCGGGAGCCUGAACCAGCCAAGUCGCGUGAGGGAAGACGGUCCUACGGAUUGUAAACCUCUUUUGCCGGGGAGCAACGGGGUCCUUGCGAGGGCCCAAUGAGAGUACCCGGAGAAAAAGCAUCGGCCAACUCCGUGCCAGCAGCCGCGGUAAUACGGAGGAUGCGAGCGUUAUCCGGAUUUAUUGGGUUUAAAGGGUGCGUAGGCGGGCUGUUAAGUCAGCGGUCAAAUGUCGGGGCUCAACCCCGGCCUGCCGUUGAAACUCGCGGCCUCGAGUGGGCGAGAAGAAGGCGGAAUGCGUGGUGUAGCGGUGAAAUGCAUAGAUAUCGCGCAGAACCCCGAUUGCGAAGGCAGCGUGCCGUGCCGCCACUGACGCUGAGGCACGAAAGCGCGGGGAUCGAACAGG